rnacentral:rRNA from 1 species
AUGGCUCAGAUUGAACGCUGGUGGUAUGCUUAACACAUGCAAGUCGAACGGUAACAUUGGAGCUUGCUCCAGAUGACGAGUGGCGGACGGGUGAGUAACGCGUAGGAAUCUGCCUAGUAGUGGGGGACAACAUGUGGAAACGCAUGCUAAUACCGCAUACGCCCUACGGGGGAAAGCGGGGGAUCUUCGGACCUCGCGCUAUUAGAUGAGCCUGCGUUAGAUUAGCUAGUUGGUGGGGUAAUGGCUCACCAAGGCGACGAUCUAUACCACACUGGGACUGAGACACGGCCCAGACUCCUACGGGAGGCAGCAGUGGGGAAUAUUGGACAAUGGGCGCAAGCCUGAUCCAGCAAUACCACGUGUGUGAAGAAGGCCUGAGGGUUGUAAAGCACUUUCAAUUGGGAGGAAAACAGCUGGGUUAAUAGCCCUGCUCUUGACAUUACCUUUAGAAGAAGCACCGGCUAACUCCGUGCCAGCAGCCGCGGUAAUACGGAGGGUGCGAGCGUUAAUCGGAAUUACUGGGCGUAAAGCGUACGUAGGCGGUUAUUUAAGUCAGAUGUGAAAGCCCCGGGCUCAACCUGGGAACUGCAUUUGAUACUGGAUGACUAGAGUUUGAUAGAGGAGAGUAGAAUUUCUGGUGUAGCGGUGAAAUGCGUAGAGAUCAGAAGGAAUACCAGUGGCGAAGGCGGCUCUCUGGAUCAAAACUGACGCUGAGGUACGAAAGCGUGGGUAGCAAACAGGAUUAGAUACCCUGGUAGUCCACGCCGUAAACGAUGUCAACUAGCCGUUGGGUCCAAUUAAGGACUUAGUGGUGCAGCUAACGCAUUAAGUUGACCGCCUGGGGAGUACGGCCGCAAGGCUAAAACUCAAAUGAAUUGACGGGGGCCCGCACAAGCGGUGGAGCAUGUGGUUUAAUUCGAUGCAA